AGUGAACGCUGGCGGUAGGCCUAACACAUGCAAGUCGAACGGCAGCACAGGAGAGCUUGCUCUCUGGGUGGCGAGUGGCGGACGGGUGAGGAAUACAUCGGAAUCUACCUUUUCGUGGGGGAUAACGUAGGGAAACUUACGCUAAUACCGCAUACGACCUACGGGUGAAAGUGGGGGACCGCAAGGCCUCACGCGAUUAGAUGAGCCGAUGUCCGAUUAGCUAGUUGGCGGGGUAAUGGCCCACCAAGGCGACGAUCGGUAGCUGGUCUGAGAGGAUGAUCAGCCACACUGGAACUGAGACACGGUCCAGACUCCUACGGGAGGCAGCAGUGGGGAAUAUUGGACAAUGGGCGCAAGCCUGAUCCAGCCAUACCGCGUGGGUGAAGAAGGCCUUCGGGUUGUAAAGCCCUUUUGUUGGGAAAGAAAUUCUAUCGGUUAAUAACCGAUAGGGAUGACGGUACCCAAAGAAUAAGCACCGGCUAACUUCGUGCCAGCCGCCGCGGUAAAAC
rnacentral:rRNA from 1 species